AUGGCUAUAUCAUAUUGAAACACCAGUUCCUGUAUGAACACUGAAGUUAGGCAACAUUGAGCCUGGUCAGUACUUAGAUGGGUGACUGCUUGGGAAUACCAGGUAUUGU